UACGGGGGGGGCAAGCGUUGUUCGGAAUUACUGGGCGUAAAGGGCUCGUAGGCGGCCAACUAAGUCGGACGUGAAAUCCCCAGGCUCAACCUGGGAACUGCGUCCGAUACUGGAUGGCUUGAAUUCGGGAGAGGGAUGCAGAAUUCCAGGUGUAGCGGUGAAAUGCGUAGAGAUCGGGAGGAACACCGGUGGCGAAGGCGGGUCUCUGGGCAAUUCCUGACGCUGAGGCGCGAAAGCGUGGGGAGCAAACGGG
rnacentral:rRNA from 1 species